AGGAUGAACGCUGGCGGCGUGCUUAACACAUGCAAGUCGAACGAUGAAGCCGGAGCUUGCUCUGGCGGAUUAGUGGCGAACGGGUGAGUAACACGUGAGUAACCUGCCCUUGACUCUGGGAUAAGCGUUGGAAACGACGUCUAAUACCGGAUACGACGCGCGAAGGCAUCUUCUGCGCGUGGAAAGAAUUUCGGUCAAGGAUGGACUCGCGGCCUAUCAGCUAGUUGGUGAGGUAACGGCCACCAAGGCGACGACGGGUAGCCGGCCUGAGAGGGUGACCGGCCACACUGGGACUGAGACACGGCCCAGACUCCUACGGGAGGCAGCAGUGGGGAAUAUUGCACAAUGGGCGCAAGCCUGAUGCAGCAACGCCGCGUGAGGGACGACGGCCUUCGGUUGUAACCUCUUUAGUAGGAAGAGCGAAAGUGACGGUACUGACAGAAAAGCAACCGGCUAACUACGUAGACCAACGACGCCGACGGUAAUCGU
rnacentral:rRNA from 1 species